rnacentral:rRNA from 1 species
UACGAAGGGGGCUAGCGUUGUUCGGAUUUACUGGGCGUAAAGCGCACGUAGGCGGAUCGAUCAGUCAGGGGUGAAAUCCCAGGGCUCAACCCUGGAACUGCCUUUGAUACUGUCGAUCUGGAGUAUGGAAGAGGUGAGUGGAAUUCCGAGUGUAGAGGUGAAAUUCGUAGAUAUUCGGAAGAACACCAGUGGCGAAGGCGGCUCACUGGCCCGGUACUGACGCUGAGGCGCGAAAGCGUGGGGAGCAAACAGG